AGGGCGCAGGGUGGAUGCCAUGGCACUGGACGCCGAAGAAAGACGUGGUAAGCUGCGAAAAGCCACGGGGAGCCGCAAGCAGGCUUUGAUCCGUGGAUGUCUGAAUGGGGAAACCCGGCGGAAGUAAUGUUCCGUCAUCCGUGAAUGAAUCCAUAGUUCACGAGAAGGGCACCCGGGGAACUGAAACAUCUAAGUACCCGGAGGAAAAGAAAGAAACAUCGAUUUCGUCAGUAGCGGCGAGCGAAAGCGAAAGAGCCCAAACCAUCCGACUACGGUUGGGUGGGGUUGUGGGUCAGCGACAUGUACGAUGAUGCUUAGGAGAAGAGUUCUGGAAAGGACUUCCAAAGAGGGUAAGAGGCCCGUAUCCGAAAAGUUGAAUCGGCUAGCUGAUACCAGAGUACCACAGGACACGAGGAAUCCGGUGGGAAGCAGGAGGGACCACCCUCCAAGGCUAAAUACGAUCCAGUGACCGAUAGCGCAUAGUACCGUGAGGGAAAGGUGAAAAGAACCCCGGGAGGGGAGUGAAAAAGAACCUGAAACCCUGUGCUUACAAGCAGAGAGAGCACAAUUAAGUGUGAUCUCGUACUUUUUGUAGAACGGACCGGCGAGUUACGUUAUGCAGCGAGGUUAAGAACUAAAGGUUUGGAGCCGAAGCGAAAGCGAGUCUGAACAGGGCGCAUAGUUGCAUGACGUAGACCCGAAACCGGGUGACCUAUCCAUGGGCAGGUUGAAGUGGAAGUAAAAUUUCAUGGAGGACCGAACCAGACGUCUGUUGAAAAAGGCGGGGAUGACCUGUGGAUAGCGGAGAAAUUCCAAUCGAACCCGGAGAUAGCUGGUUCUCCUCGAAAUAGCUUUAGGGCUAGCCUCGCAUUAGUUUACCGGAGGUAGAGCACUGAAUGGUCUAGGGGGCCUCACCGCCUACCGAAACCUAUCAAACUGCGAAUGCCGGAUAAAUGAUGUGCGGGAGUCAGGCCGCGAGAGAUAAGUUCCGCGGUCAAAAGGGGAACACCCCAGAUCGUCUGCUAAGGUCCCCAAGUACGCGUUAAGUGGGAAAGGAUGUUGGAUUGCACAGACAACCAGGAUGUUGGCUUAGAAGCAGCCACACAUUCAAAGAGUGCGUAAUAGCUCACUGGUCGAGUGAUCCAGCGCCGAAAAUGUAACGGGGCUAAAACGCGACACCGAAGCAGCGGGAUGCGUAAGCAUCGGUAGAGGAGCAUUGUGUGAGGGUUGAAGCCAGAGCGGGAGCACUGGUGGACUUCACAGAAGAGAGAAUGCCGGUAUGAGUAGCGAGACCCAUGCGAGAAACAUGGGCGUCGAAGGCCCAAGGUUUCCUGGGGAAGGUUCAUCCACCCAGGGUAAGUCGGGACCUAAGCCGAGGACUGAGGUCGUAGGCGAUGGACAGCAGGUAGAGAUUCCUGCACCACUUACACUUGUUUGACGAAGCAGUGACACAGAAGGAUAGGACGAGCGCGGUGAUGGUCAACCGCGUAGGCGGCACGAGGCUGGGGAGCAGUAAAGUACACUUCCCGGGAAGGCUGAGUGCUGACAGGACCGAAAAAGAGUAGGGAAGCGUCUGAGUUCACGCUGGCGAGAAAAGCUGCUAAGGAGAGUGUGAGUGCCCGUACCGGAAACCGACGCAGGUGGGCGAGGAGAGAAUCCUGAGACGGACGGGAGAACUCUUGUUAAGGAACUCGGCAAAAUGACCCCGUAACUUCGGGAGAAGGGGUGCCUCGAAAGAGGCCGCAGAGAAUAGUCACAAGCGACUGUUUAGCAAAAACACAGGUAUCUGCGAAAGCGAGAGCUGACGUAUAGGUGCUGACGCCUGCCCGGUGCUGGAAGGUUAAGGGGAAGUGUUAGGGGAAACCCGAAGCAGAGAACCGAAGCCCCAGUAAACGGCGGCCGUAACUAUAACGGUCCUAAGGUAGCGAAAUUCCUUGUCGGGUAAGUUCCGACCCGCACGAAUGGCGUAACGACUUGUGAGCUGUCUCAACAGGAGGCCCGGUGAAAUUGAAGUAUGUGUGAAGAUGCACAUUACCCGCGACUGGACGGAAAGACCCCGUAGAGCUUUACUGUAACCUGACAUUGGAUCUUGAUAACGGAUGCACAGGAUAGGUGGGACGCUGGGAGGUAUGGACUUUGGUCUGUACGGAGCGGACGUUGGGAUACCACUCUUCUGUUAUUGA
rnacentral:rRNA from 1 species